AUUUCAGAAUCAGUCAAUAAAACCCUGGUUGAGAUGUCUAGAUGUUUACUCAUCCAAUCGGGGCUCCCUGACUAUCUGUGCGGGGAAGCUGUGAAGACGGCAUGUCACAUAAGAAACCUAUG